rnacentral:tRNA from 1 species
GUUAAUGUAGCUUAAUUAUUUAAAGCAAGACACUGAAAAUGUCUAGAUGGAUCCGUACAACCCUAUAAAUA